CAGAGGCAGGACUGCUGGCUGGGAAGGGUCCAGGGGGAGGGAGAAACCACUUCUCCUUCCCUUUCUGAUGCUAGCAAGAUUAUGACUGCAGAGCGGGGCUGCACAGGGCAGAACUUCCCAAAAAUCAGGAGGAGCACGUAUCCCCAACAGAGGUUGCAGUCCCCAAAUCAUGCGGUCACCUCCCACCUCCUCUGCCCACACUGGAGCUUCGUCUGCAGUGAGCUCUGGCCUCGGGCCCUUGGGGACCCAGGAGUGCCCCUUCCUCCAGAUAUCAGGGCAAAAGAGAGGCAGAGAAACCGGAGAGAUCCAAAGACAAGUGGCAAGCGACAGCAAGAGACGCGGUGUCACCGUGUGCUAUGGAUGAAGAAACCAAGGCGCAAGAGCCAUGUGGUAUGCCAUUUCGUGGAUGCAUUGUGAUUUCAGCAGCCAAUCUGGAACUGGGGAGCUCUCAGAUCAUGUCUCAUUAAAGACACACGAAUAGGUGGAACACAGAGGAUUUGGUGUGUCGGGCGGUGAAAUGACUGCAUAUGUGACCACGAUGGUGGAUACAUGUCACACGUAUGUCGGAGAAGAUAGAAGGCCAAGAGUGAAUCCUAACGUACACUAUGCACUCUGGGUGAUAAUGACGUGUCCGUACAGAUUUGUCAGCUGUAACAAGUGUCUCACUCUGGUGCGGGAUGCUGACAGUGUGGACACAGGGACAGGGAGUGUAUGAGAACUGUCUGUAUUUCCCACUCAAGUUUUCUGUGACGCUAAAACUCUCUGAAAAAUGAAGUUUUUUGUUAAUAAAAAUCAAUCGAUCACGCAAGUGUAAAUUUAA